GUGAGUAUAGAUCAAUGGUAGAUCAUCUGCUUAUUGUGCAUGAAGCCCUGAGUUCAAUUCCCAGCAUGUACC
rnacentral:tRNA from 1 species